rnacentral:rRNA from 1 species
UAGGGAAUCUUCCACAAUGGGCGCAAGCCUGAUGGAGCAACACCGCGUGAGUGAAGAAGGGUUUCGGCUCGUAAAGCUCUGUUGUUGGAGAAGAACGUGCGUGAGAGUAACUGUUCACGCAGUGACGGUAUCCAACCAGAAGUCACGGCUAACUACGUGCC